UGGGGAAUAUUGGACAAUGGGCGAAAGCCUGAUCCAGCCAUGCCGCGUGUGUGAAGAAGGUCUUCGGAUUGUAAAGCACUUUAAGUUGGGAGGAAGGGCAGUAAGCGAAUACCUUGCUGUUUUGACGUUACCGACAGAAUAAGCACCGGCUAACUCUGUGCCAGCAGCCGCGGUAAUACAGAGGGUGCAAGCGUUAAUCGGAAUUACUGGGCGUAAAGCGCGCGUAGGUAGUUCGUUAAGUUGAAUGUGAAAGCCCCGGGCUCAACCUGGGAACUGCAUCCAAAACUGGCGAGCUAGAGUAGGGCAGAGGGUGGUGGAAUUUCCUGUGUAGCGGUGAAAUGCGUAGAUAUAGGAAGGAACACCAGUGGAGAACGCGACCACCUGGGCUCAUACUGACGCUGAGGUGCGAAAGAGUGGGGAGCAAACAGG
rnacentral:rRNA from 1 species